rnacentral:rRNA from 1 species
UACGUAGGGUGCAAGCGUUGUCCGGAAUUAUUGGGCGUAAAGAGCUCGUAGGCGGUUUGUCGCGUCUGCUGUGAAAACUGGAGGCUCAACCUCCAGCCUGCAGUGGGUACGGGCAGACUAGAGUGCGGUAGGGGAGAUUGGAAUUCCUGGUGUAGCGGUGGAAUGCGCAGAUAUCAGGAGGAACACCGAUGGCGAAGGCGGGUCUCUGGGCCGUUACUGACGCUGAGGAGCGAAAGCGUGGGGAGCGAACAGG